rnacentral:rRNA from 1 species
UACGUAGGGUGCAAGCGUUGUCCGGAAUUAUUGGGCGUAAAGAGCUCGUAGGCGGUGUGUCGCGUCGGCCGUGAAAACCUGCAGCUUAACUGUGGGCGUGCGGUCGAUACGGGCAUCACUGGAGUUCGGCAGGGGAGACUGGAAUUCCAGGUGUAGCGGUGAAAUGCGUAGAUAUCUGGAGGAACACCGGUGGCGAAGGCGGCAUCCUGGACCGGUAUUGACGCUGAUGCGCGAAAGCCAGGGGAGCAAACGGG